rnacentral:rRNA from 1 species
GACGAACGCUGGCGGCGUGCUUAACACAUGCAAGUCGAACGAUGAAGCCCAGCUUGCUGGGUGGAUUAGUGGCGAACGGGUGAGUAACACGUGGGCAACCUGCCCCAAACUCUGGGAUAACUCCUCGAAAGAGGUGCUAAUACCGGAUACGAACUAGACAGACAUCUGUACUAGUUGGAAAGUUUUUCGGUUUGGGAUGGGCCCGCGGCCUAUCAGCUUGUUGGUGAGGUAACGGCUCACCAAGGCUACGACGGGUAACCGGCCUGAGAGGGCGACCGGUCAAACUGGGACUGAGACACGGCCCAGACUCCUACGGGAGGCAGCAGUGGGGAAUAUUGCGCAAGGGGCGAAAGCCUGACGCAGCGACGCCGCGUGAGGGAUGAAGGUCUUCGGAUCGUAAACCUCUUUCAGUAGGGACGAAGCGAAAGUGACGGUACCUAAAGAAGAAGCACCGGCUAACUACGUGCCAGCAGCCGCCGUAA